rnacentral:misc_RNA from 1 species
GAGAAUACAAAAAAUGCAAUAAAACCUCAUUUUGAUGAAGUGCAUGAUACCCUUUAUCAAGUGAGUGCAACACUGAGGAAGAAAUAGUCAACCAGAGAGAAGUAUGAGGUUUAGGCUCACAUGAAGGUUGAUGCUGUUUUUGCAUUUUGAAAGAUCUGCAAUAAGAUUUAUGGGUAUUUUAAGGAUUUGGAACUUGUUCUCUAUGAAUAAUGUCGUAUGCGUGUUUAAAAAAAUCCAAACAAUAUAUCUCGGUAUAGCCAAAAGAAGAGAACCUGGUUUAGUAAACAUAUGUAUUGUUUUAUAUUAUCUUCUAAUGG